AGAAGUAUUUUUCUGGAUUAAGGUCCAGAGAAUUCACAUGACCAUGAAGCACUGCUUCCCCUUUAUCUUCUUCAGGGGUGAGAAGCAGAUCACAGCAUCCAACAAGACCACACUUCAGGAAUCCCAGGUCCCAAAGACCAGUUCUAGGCUGCAGCAAGGAAAUUGCUUAGUGGAAAAGAACCAGGUCACAGAAUACUUAAGCAACUUGAACAUACAUAAAUUCAUGGGCCUUGAUAGGAUGUACCCAAGAGCACUGAGGGACCUGACAGAUGUCAUUGCAAAGACAUCUUGGUAACCUUUGACAAAUUGUGAUGAUGAGGAGAAGUGCCUGAAGUCUAAAGGAAAAUAAGUAUCACUGUUACCUUCGAAAGGAAGACCCAGGGAACUAUAGGAUGGUCAGCAUCACCUCAGUCACUGGGAAGGUGAAGGCUGGAAAACCAUUUCCAUGCAUAAGAAGGACAAGAAAAUCAUCAGGAAUGGUCAGCAUUCCUUCACCAAGGGGAAGUCAUGCUUGACCAAUUUGAUAAACCUGUAUGAUAAAAUGACUGGCCUGGCAGAUGAGGGGAGGGUAGUGGGCAUUAUCUACCUGGACUUUAGUAAGGGCUUGAUACUAUGUUUCAUGAGAUCCUCAUAGACAGGAUGUUCCUGUAGGGGCAGUCUAUUCUCAGCAAGUUUGCUGAUGACAAAAACCUAGGAGGAGUGGCCAUCCAGAUAGACCACAGGAGACUGGAGAAAUGGGCUGACAGGAACCUCAGGAAGUCCAACAAGGAAACAUGCAAAAUCUUACACCUGCGGACGACCAAGCCCACUCACCAAUGUAUACUAGAGGUCACCUCUCUGAAAAGCAACUUGGAAAAAUAUCCUGGUGGACACCAAGUUGAACAAGAGCCAGCACUGGGUUCUUGCUACAAAGAAGGCAAAUAGAAUCCUGGGCUACACUAGGCAAAGUAUUACCACUAGAUCAGUGGAGGUGAUCCCUCCUCUCUACUAAGCACUGUUGAGGCCAGCAGUGGUGUUUCCCAGUCAAAAGAGACUUGGACAUACUGGAAAGAGUCCAGUUAAGGGGCAUCAAGACGAGUGAGGGACUGGAGCAACUCUCUUUCCUUCUAUGAGGAAAGGCUGAGAGAGUUGGGACUGUUCAGCCUAGAGAAGAGAAGCUCCCCCUGCUCACUCAGAGAGUUGCAAAAGCUGGGUCACAGGCAUUGAGAAUGCCAGCUGUGAAAUGAAGGAGAAAGAACAGGAACUGCUUCAUGCUGUCUGUUUCCCUUAGUUUUGAGUGGUUUUUUAAGUGAUUUCACACUGUGGUUGUAAUGUGGAGAGUGAGAUAUUUGAUUAUCUUGACCUUUCACAAGCUUUUAUACAAUGAAUAUUUACAUAUACACAAAGAUAGGUACGGGAAUGUAGUUAAAUGCAUGUGUGUAGAUCCAUGUACUCAUUCACAUAGAAAACCACCUAAAAGAGAGAUGGAAAGUAACUGUUUUGUCUCACUGCAUCAGACACUCCAGUCACAGAAAGUCACUGACACAGAUAUAAACACAUAUGAUCCCUGCUCAGUGUUCAGGGCUUUGUUAAGUCCCUGUCACCCAAUAACUGGAUAAUUCAUUCACAUAAAACAAAGAAUUAGCAUAGACAAGCAUCAAAUCCAUUGUAUGUGCAGGCUGCUGUCGGUCUUUUCUUGUCUUGUGGUAGUAUAGAUUUAGAACCUCUGGACAAAAGUAAAGU